GAUGAACGCUGGCGGCGUGCCUAAUACAUGCCAGUCGAGCGAACGGACGAGAAGCUUGCUUCUCUGAUGUUAGCGGCGGACGGGUGAGUAACACGUGGAUAACCUACCUAUAAGACUGGGAUAACUUCGGGAAACCGGAGCUAAUACCGGAUGAUAUUUUGAACCGCAUGGUUCAAAAGUGAAAGACGGUCUUGCUGUCACUUAUAGAUGGAUCCGCGCUGCAUUAGCUAGUUGGUAAGGUAACGGCUUACCAAGGCAACGAUGCAUAGCCGACCUGAGAGGGUGAUCGGCCACACUGGAAGUGAGACACGGUCCAGACUCCUACGGGAGGCAGCAGUAGGGAAUCUUCGGCAAUGGGGGAAAGCCUGACGGAGCAACGCCGCGUGGGUGAUGAAGGUCUUCGGUUCGUAAAACUCUGUUAUUAGGGAAGAACAUAUGUGUACGUAACUGUGCACAUAUUGACGGUACCUAAUCAGAAAGCCACGGCUAACUACGUG
rnacentral:rRNA from 1 species